rnacentral:siRNA from 1 species
CUUGGUUUAGUCUGGUUAAUCUCU